CUGUUGUAUGAGAGGAGGGAGGUUAAACUCACCUCUACGAGGACGGGAGAGGCCCUUGGCCCAAACAACACACACACGGUGAAGGUAUGGUCGCCUACUCUGUGGGUGGCCAUGGGCUUUC